AUGUGAUUUAUUCCUAGUGCUUUGUAUGUCAAAGUGAAGAAAUUAAACCAUGUGUGGGUAAACAUCGGGAGUAACUACGACUCUCUUAAGGUAGCCAUAUGCCUCGUCAUCUAAUUAUUGAUGCACAUGCAUGGAUUAAUGAGAUUCUCACUAUCCCUAGCUACUAUCUAGAGAAACCACAGCCAAGGGAACAUGCUUGGUAGAAUCAAUGGGAAAAUAAUACCAUGUUGAGCUUGACUAGUCCGACUUUGUGAAAUGACUUGAGAGGUGUAGAAUAAGUGGGAUCUGUUUUCGGCACAAGUGAAAUACAAAUACUUUUAACAUUAUUUUACUUAUUGUUUGGGGCAAAGACAAGGGAUUUCACAUAUGUUAAAAGAUAACACACAUUUCCUCAAAGUGUUGUCAUUGAUGGAAAUGGUCGAGAGCUCAUUCUUCACGCACUUGAUGGAAAUGAGUUUAGGAAACUAAAGAGGAUCAUUUCUUUUAAGGAUGAAGAAAGUUCUUACAAUCCCUAUGUUUUUAGCCAACAUCGGCCCCCUAUAAUUAUCUAUGCAAUGGUUCCUCAUUGUAUAUUGGUGACUUGAGUCCUCAUAGACUUAGAGAGUGGGUGGCUUAUGAUGCCAAAUUCUUUGGCCCUCGAU
rnacentral:ncRNA from 1 species